CAGGAAAGGGAGAAGCUGCUCCAGAGCUUCAGGCCUGUGGUUAAAGCACUGAUAGAAGACCAGAGUUUUACCUUUGAAAAUGAAAUGUCAUUUUGGAUGCUCAUUUAAAAUUAGUUUUAAUCGAUUCCCUUGCAUAACAAAGACAGUAGUUUCUGAAAAGUGCUCACCAAAAGGAAAUGAAACCACUGACACAAUGUGAAGAGCUGAAAACAAAGUGAUGCAGCUAACACACUUAUCUCAGGGACAUGGUGCAUCUUGAUUUUCUUAGAUGGUUUCUGCCUAAUGCUACCAUGCAAAGGCUCUUCAGAAACCCAGGGAUGAUUUUCAAAACAUCCAGUUCUGGACACUGAUACUGAAAGACACUGAAGAGACUUCACCUGUCACAGAAUUCUCUAAAAUUUGUUCCUGUAUCAUCUUUUGCUGUUUGAGCAAGAUAAUAAGAAGAAUAAUCGCUUCCAUAGCACUUGAUGGCCUUGGAGAGGAAGGGCAAAUGAUUCUCAGAAAACUGCAAUGGCCCCCCUGGAAGUCACAAAGCCCUCAGGAUGCUCUGUGGACUGGGGGCUGUGGUGACUGCAGACCACCAGCCCCUCUUCAAGGUAUAAAGACAAGACCUGAGGAGUGUGUUUCUUCUGAUGAAGCAGACUUGUGGCUGGUGAGACUGCAUGCAAGAUAAGGUACUUUUGAUCUACCUUUACAUCUCAGUAGUGACCUUGCACUGGGACCCUUUCAACCAAUGGACCAAGGUGUUCAAAAAGCCAGUGAGGUGACCCCUUUACAAGUUACCCGCAUGGUGGAAUGAUGAACAACUGUCAGACUACAGCUGGCUUCAGGAUGUGCAAUUGCCAGUGAAUUGACCUAGGUUGUGUGUUGAAAGA
rnacentral:lncRNA from 1 species